CAAGUGACUAUGUGCACCAGGGGUGGGCAAUCUCAGUCCACGAGGGCCGGUGUCCCUGCAGGUUUUAGAUGUGUCCUCGAACCAACACAGCUGAUUUAAAUGGCUAAAUUAGCUCCUCAACAUGUCCUGAAGUUCUCCAGAGGCCUGGUAACGAACUAAUCAUGUGAUUCAGGUGUGUUGACCCAAGGUGAGAUCUAAAACCUGCAGGGACACCGGCCCUCGUGGACUGAGAUUGACCACCCCUGAUGUGCACGAUAGCAUAUGCUAGUUCCGGUGUGGAAAAUCCUGUGUGGAGCUUUGUUUCCGGUGUCCUAUUCGCGCCCUGUUUAAUGUCCAAAAGAAGUUAACCAAAUGAAUGAAUUAAGCGUCGAUUUACAUUUCUAUAGAUGUCUUGGUCAUUUACCCAAUAUAUCUGUAAAUGAUGUUCACGGACUUGUCGAUAUUUUGCCCCCACGCCUCAGAGCAAAGGAGAAAAGGGAUUCAAAUGUUAUAUUUCUCAGCUGUCCCUCGUUUAUUGUGGUGUUAUGUUCUAAAAAUAACCAGCGAUGGGUGAAAUCAAGUAGCCAAUUUUAUUUUUUUGAUGCGUGGACAUCGUGGACAUCCAGUACUGCACUUUUUAAUUUAGAAGAAACCCUCACCAGCAAUCGUUCAUUUUUUGUGUGGCUUCUUUUUUCACGGUUUGUUAACAUGCUGUGUAGGUGUGGACAUAACGGGAAACAUUUGUGACUGUUGUUCACCUGUAGUUUGAAUGCUGAACAUUUGCCUGUUUAAAGAAUAAGACCAGUCACUAUACAGAGAUGUGCUUCUGAAUGUGGACGAUGUGUCUUAUGCUGCAGUGAUGCAGUUCUGCUUGUGUUGAGUGAUGCAAACAACCAAUCGAUCUAAACUCUUUAAACGUCAAUCACGUGGUUACCGGCUACCGGCGAAAAUAAUCGGGACUGUAAGCCAAUUUCUGUUUUAGAGCAUUUGCGCCGCUGUGUGUUUUUGUGGUCUUCUUUUGCGGCUAAUUUAGUGAAUUUUGGUCUGAUCGUGGUGAAACUUGGUGUGUGGAGUCAGUGAUAGCUCUGGGAGCUAACCAGCCUAUCUUUAACCGGUUACUUAUAUGAAGUCUGAAUAAUUUCUGGUUCGGUUUUGUUUGUUUAGCGGACUUCUGCGCAUUUACGUAACUGCUCGUUUAAUCGCGGCUUAUUUUCGGUGUGUUUGGUGGUUGUAGAAAUGGUUUAUAUGACAUUUUAGCUGAGAUUAUGAGGUUUCUGUGGAUACCACACAUGUCUGGACUUAUAUUUCUCAACCCGCGUUAUAACCGAUUAAACGUGAUCUCCUCCUUUUUGCCCCCGGUACCAGAGACGUGGGGCUUAAGUGGUUAAACGUCAAAAUCUAUCAUUAGAUUUUUUUGUGACACAACAGUGGUGAGUGUUCCCACCUUCUGCUCUUUGGAACUUAACGCAAUCUUUCCAUUUUCAAGUUUUGGACAUGAUUUUGGAGUAUAUCUUGGCAGUAGCGAUUUACCGCAAAGUAAAGCUACCGGAAAUGUGCAACCCCACAUCCGGCCUCAAACCAGGAAGUUAGCAUUUUCUCGUGCACAUAGUCAAGUUCAAGCUCCUCACAUAUCAUCAUCCAGGGUACAGUCAUAUACUGAUGAGGAGAUCCCAUGCAGGCAACAUUAAGGCAGUGUAACAAGUUAAAUAUGCACUAAUUUUAAGGUAUUUCCUAAUAUCUAACA
rnacentral:lncRNA from 1 species